CCUAUAGUCCGUUCCGAUUAGGGUUUUCUUCUCGACCACCAGAAUCCGAAGGUCUAUAAAUACUUAGCAAGGCUUCUUCCGUUCACCCUUUCAGCGGUACAUCUGAAGAGAUUUUAUUCUGAGAGAAGAUGCGAGCCAAGUGGAAGAAGAAGCGUAUGAGGAGGCUUAAGAGGAAGAGGAGGAAGAUGAGACAGAGAUCCAAGUAGAGAAGGCCUUGACCAUGCAUCUGUGACUUGCCCAGAGUCCAUGUUCUAGGUUUUAGGUCUGGUUUUGGGAUCCAUAGACCGUUUUGUUUCCGGUAACCCUAGUGGGUUUGUCUUAAAGUUUCAGACUUUCAAGCUCUAUGAACAUGUUACUGCCAACAUAUUCUUCUACUAGAAGAGCGAUUUCUAUUUCCAGUUCCAGGUUCCAUCUUUUUGGUUUUCAGUGUAAGUCUCUGAAAGUGAAACCUCAUAAGCCCACAUCGAUCUCUCGCUACACGAUGCAGGUGAAUGAAGUCAGUGUUCAGUGUUGAGUUGUA